rnacentral:lncRNA from 1 species
UUUUUUUUUUUUUUUUUUGAGACCGGGUCUCUCACUCUGUCGCCCAGACUGGAGUGCAGUGACGUGGUGUCAGCUCACCUCAACCUGCACCUCCCAGGCUCAAGUGAUUCUCCUGCCUUACCCUCCUUCUACCAUUCUUUCUUUCUUUCUUUCUUUCUUUUUUUUGAGAUAGAGUCUCACGUUAUUGCCCAUGCUGGAGUGCAGUGACACAAUAGCGGCUCACUGCAGCCUCCUGCCGCAGCCUCCUGAGUAGCUGGGAUUACAGGCUCCCGCCACCAUGCCCGGCUAAUUUUUGUAUUUUUAGUAGAGAUGGGGUUGUGCCAUGUUGGCCAGGCAGGUCUCAAACCUCUGACCUCAGGUGAUUCGCCUGCCCUGGCCUCCCAAAGUGCUGGGAUUAUAGGCGUGAGCUACUGCGCCAGGCCCGAACUACCACUAAUUUUUUAAAAAACCCACUAAUUAAAAAUCUGUCAUGGCUGGGCACAGUGGCUCAGGCCUGUAAUCCUAGCCCUUUGGGAGGCUGAGGUGGGCAGAUCACCUAAGGUCAGGGGUUCAAGACCAGCCUGGCCAAACCCCGUCUCUACUAAAAAUACAAAACUUAGCCAGGUGUGGUGGUACGCACCUGUAAUCCCAGCUAGUUGGGAGGCUGAGGUAGGAUAUUGCUUGAACCCGGGAAGCAGAGAUUGCACUGAGCCGAGAUCAUGCCAUUGCAAUCAGCUUGGGUAACACAGCAAGACCCUGUCUCAAAACAACAACAACAACAACAAACCUGUCACAUGCAACGUAAUGCAACAUAUUUUAUAAAAUGAGGAUUUGAGAUUACAGUCUCAGUUAAGUGGUUGAAGAAACUCACAAGUAGUGCCUAUUACAAGAGUAAUAGGAGUCAAAUUAGGUGUGCUUUAAAUGCACAUCUUUAAAUGUCUAUUUAAAUAAUAAUUAUUGCUAUAUAUAGUUUCAAUUUCACUCAUAAAUAUUUCAGUAUAUGUCUAUAAAUGGUACAGAUUCUUUUUAAAAACAUAACCACUGUAUAAUUUUCACACCAAAAAGAAAUUAAGGCCGGGCACGGUGGCUCAUACCUAUAAUCCCAAUGACUUGGGAGGCUGAGGUGGGAGGAUCACGUGAGCCCAAGAGUUCAAGAUCAGCCUGGGCAAGAUGGUGAGACUGUGUCUUGACAAAAAGUUUUUAAAAAUUAGCCAGGUAUGGUGGUGUGUUCUUGUGGUCCCAGCUACUCAGGAGACUGAGAUGGGAGGAUUGCUUGAACCCAGGAAUUUGGGGCUGCAGUGAGC